rnacentral:rRNA from 1 species
GACGAACGCUGGCGGCGUGCUUAACACAUGCAAGUCGAGCGGUAAGGCCUUUCGGGGUCCACGAGCGGCGAACGGGUGAGUAACACGUGGGUGAUCUGCCCUGCACUUCGGGAUAAGCCUGGGAAACUGGGUCUAAUACCGGAUAUGACCUCCUAUCGCAUGGUGGGUGGGGGAAAGAUUUAUCGGUGCAGGAUGGGCCCGCGGCCUACCAGCUUGUUGGUGGGGUAAUGGCCUACCAAGGCGACGACGGGUAGCCGACCUGAGAGGGUGACCGGCCACACUGCGACUGAGACACGGCCCAGACUCCUACGGGAGGCAGCAGUGGGGAAUAUUGCACAAUGGGCGACAGCCUGAUGCAGCGACGCCGCGUGAGGGAUGACGGCCUUCGGGUUGUAACCCUCUUUCAGCAGGGACGAAGCGCAAGUGACGGUACCUGCAGAAGAAGCACCGGCUAACUACGUG